rnacentral:rRNA from 1 species
UACGGAGGGUGCAAGCGUUAAUCGGAAUUACUGGGCGUAAAGCGUGCGCAGGCGGUUUGUUAAGUCUGCUGUGAAAUCCCCGAGCUCAACUUGGGAAUUGCAGUGGAUACUGGCAGGCUGGAGUAUGGUAGAGGAGGGUGGAAUUCCCGGUGUAGCAGUGAAAUGCGUAGAGAUGUGGAGGAACACCGAUGGCGAAGGCAGCCCCCUGGGUCAAGAUUGACGCUCAUGCACGAAAGCGUGGGGAGCAAACAGG